rnacentral:tRNA from 1 species
GCCUGGGUGGCUCAGUCGGUUGAGCGUCAGACUGCAGCUCAGGUCAUGAUCUCGCAGUCUGUGAGUUCAAGCCCCGCAUCGGGCU